UACGUAGGUGGCAAGCGUUGUCCGGAAUUACUGGGUGUAAAGGGCGUGUAGGCGGGGAGACAGGUCAGAUGUGAAAUACCGUGGCUUAACUGCGGGGGUGCAUCUGAAACUGUUUCUCUUGAGUGUCGGAGAGGAAAGUGGAAUUCCCAGUGUAGCGGUGAAAUGCGUAGAGAUUGGGAGGAACACCAGUGGCGAAGGCGGCUUUCUGGACGAUAACUGACGCUGAGGCGCGGAAGCGUGGGUAGCAAACAGGAUUAGAUACCCUGGUAGU
rnacentral:rRNA from 1 species